AGUUUGCAAAUAAGGGUAGAUUGGAAAAAUGUAUAUAUUUAGAGGGGUAAUUAUGAUAUUACUGAUUUUGUGAGGGUCACUACAACAGAAUUAGGUUAUAGGGACACAUGUUUGGAACACUUUUGUAUAAGUGUCCCAUUUAUGCCAAAACUUAAAAAAAUAUAUACUAAUGCCUAAAUAUAAAGCCCAAUCCAACCAAAAAUAAAAGGUUACUCUACUCAACCCAGCUCACCCAGCCCAUUCAGCCGAUUACAAAAAGAAAAGAAGAAAAAAAAAAAAUCGAUAACCAUCUCCCCUUCUCCCCUCACUCAAUCCACUGAAAUUCUAGACGAAGAACCCUUCCCUCUCGUCCUCCUCUGUCACCGCAGCCAACGAGGUAGAGUUUUGGAACAAUUUUUAAAAGUGUCACUAUAUACCUAGCGACCCCACAUAUAGCAACACUUUUUAAAAGUGUCGGUAAUUUAGCCAGCAGCACUUUUUUUGACCUAUACCGACAUUUAAAAGUGUCGCUAUAAACCGUUUUUGUUGUAGUGAGUAUUCAUGAUAAUAGUGAAAUUAA
rnacentral:lncRNA from 1 species